UAGCUCUCUCUAGGCCUGCAUCCCCAGC
rnacentral:piRNA from 1 species